AACCUCUGGUUUCCCUUCAAUACGCAUAAAUCUUUUGCCUUUUACUGAAGAUUUCUGUUGAGGGGAACAUAUGGUUCAUACAGUUUUAUUCCUACAUUUGGAUUAUUGAUUGA
rnacentral:snRNA from 1 species